ensembl:misc_RNA 7SK 7SK RNA
GGGUGUGAGGAUGAUCUGGCUGUGACAUCUGUUGCCCCACUGAUCACUAGGGUUGGAUUCAGCUGAUCUGGCUGGCUAGGCACGUGUCCCCUUCCUCCCUCAUCAUUCCAUGCACAUCCCCCCUGCAACAGUGCACUCGGUUGAAGAGGACGGCCCUCUCCAUCUACUUGUAUACCCGCCCGGGUCAAGAGUAUACAAGUAGCUGCACUCCCCUGCUAGAACUUCCAAGCAAGCUCCAAACUGUAAGAUUGGUGAGAUAACUGUAAGUUUAUUUUGCCCUAACAAUAUUUCUGUUAAGGCAUU